UGAGCUACUAGAGCCCAGUGAGCAGAAUAAUAAAACAUCUAAAACACAUGAUAACAUGGAAUGCAUCACAUCACAGCUAAUCACAUCAAGGAUGAACUUGUCACCAAUAGCCCUCUACAUAGUCCAACUGUGCCAGAACGUAGAAUGAGUCCUGGUCUUUCUCUUACAUAGCAUAACAUAACAUAGUCCAACUGUGCCAGAACGUAGAAUGGGUCCUGGUCUUUCUCUUACAUAGUGCCAACGAACGUAGAAUGGGUCCCACUGGUCUUACAUU
rnacentral:lncRNA from 1 species